rnacentral:rRNA from 1 species
GAUCAUGGCUCAGGAUGAACGCUGGCGGCGUGCCUAACACAUGCAAGUCGAACGAAGCACCUUUUGAGAUUCUUCGGAUGAUCGAUCGGUGACUGAGCGGCGGACGGGUGAAGGUAACGCGUGGGUAACCUGCCUCAUACAGGGGGAUAACAGUUAGAAAUGACUGCUAAUACCGCAUAAGACCACAGCACCGCAUGGUGCAGGGGUAAAAACUCCGGUGGUAUGAGAUGGACCCGCG